CUCGGAUCAGAAUGCUGUUUCCCCAUGCUCUUCCAAGGCUCAUUGAGCACUGACCCCAGCUCUGCUCAUGCCCCACACAGGUCACCCUCUGGGUAGCCCACUGUGUGGAUUCCAUGAAGCAUGCCCUUCUCCCACACAGUCAUCAGCAGUAUCAAUGACCUCCCUCUUCCCAGCUCCAUCAAAGCCAGCCCUGGAAUUAUUAAAGAAAGUCUGACUCCAAGGCAGCCUUUUCUUUCCUCUGCUGAGUGAUUUUCAUUCCUUACAAGAGGAGUUAUCUACAAGCAACAUCGUUCCUGAGGCCAACUGGUCCUCAGUGUCACUUGAGCAUCUGCUGUAUUGUCCUCCUCCUGUGUGGGUCACCGUUGUUGUCUGUCUCUGCAGUCACCAUGGUCUCCUGUCUGAACAGCCCCUCCACCUGGAGCUCUUUGUUUUCCAACUCAGCCACUGUUGACAGCAUAGGCACCUUUGUCUGACACCAUCCAAGCCUUCUUCCACUUGCAGUGUUGUGCUGACUCUGCCAGUCACAGUCUUCGCUGACACAAGAGCUCUACUCUAGACAGAUGGACAAAUCACAGUUGUCUCCUGGAAGGAAGGGCUGAGCUGUGCUGCAAUGUCUGCUUCUUCCUUGAGGACACUAAAAUCUUAAGUAACUCCCAGGACCCAUGCAAUCUAACCUACCUAUCUGAGGAUGAAAUCUUUGUAGCCACAAACUUCCCC
ensembl:lncRNA